GGUUAAGCGACUAAGCGUACACGGUGGAUGCCCUGGCAGUCAGAGGCGAUGAAGGACGUGCUAAUCUGCGAUAAGCGUCGGUGAGGUGAUAUGAACCGUUAUAACCGGCGAUUUCCGAAUGGGGAAACCCAGUGUGUUUCGACACACUAUCAUUAACUGAAUCCAUAGGUUAAUGAGGCGAACCGGGGGAACUGAAACAUCUAAGUACCCCGAGGAAAAGAAAUCAACCGAGAUUCCCCCAGUAGCGGCGAGCGAACGGGGAGGAGCCCAGAGCCUGAAUCAGUGUGUGUGUUAGUGGAAGCGUCUGGAAAGGCGCGCGAUACAGGGUGACAGCCCCGUACACAAAAAUGCACAUACUGUGAGCUCGAUGAGUAGGGCGGGACACGUGGUAUCCUGUCUGAAUAUGGGGGGACCAUCCUCCAAGGCUAAAUACUCCUGACUGACCGAUAGUGAACCAGUACCGUGAGGGAAAGGCGAAAAGAACCCCGGCGAGGGGAGUGAAAAAGAACCUGAAACCGUGUACGUACAAGCAGUGGGAGCCUCUUAAUGGGGUGACUGCGUACCUUUUGUAUAAUGGGUCAGCGACUUAUAUUCUGUAGCAAGGUUAACCGAAUAGGGGAGCCGAAGGGAAACCGAGUCUUAACUGGGCGUUAAGUUGCAGGGUAUAGACCCGAAACCCGGUGAUCUAGCCAUGGGCAGGUUGAAGGUUGGGUAACACUAACUGGAGGACCGAACCGACUAAUGUUGAAAAAUUAGCGGAUGACUUGUGGCUGGGGGUGAAAGGCCAAUCAAACCGGGAGAUAGCUGGUUCUCCCCGAAAGCUAUUUAGGUAGCGCCUCGUGAAUUCAUCUCCGGGGGUAGAGCACUGUUUCGGCAAGGGGGUCAUCCCGACUUACCAACCCGAUGCAAACUGCGAAUACCGGAGAAUGUUAUCACGGGAGACACACGGCGGGUGCUAACGUCCGUCGUGAAGAGGGAAACAACCCAGACCGCCAGCUAAGGUCCCAAAGUCAUGGUUAAGUGGGAAACGAUGUGGGAAGGCCCAGACAGCCAGGAUGUUGGCUUAGAAGCAGCCAUCAUUUAAAGAAAGCGUAAUAGCUCACUGGUCGAGUCGGCCUGCGCGGAAGAUGUAACGGGGCUAAACCAUGCACCGAAGCUGCGGCAGCGACACUAUGUGUUGUUGGGUAGGGGAGCGUUCUGUAAGCCUGUGAAGGUGUACUGUGAGGUAUGCUGGAGGUAUCAGAAGUGCGAAUGCUGACAUAAGUAACGAUAAAGCGGGUGAAAAGCCCGCUCGCCGGAAGACCAAGGGUUCCUGUCCAACGUUAAUCGGGGCAGGGUGAGUCGACCCCUAAGGCGAGGCCGAAAGGCGUAGUCGAUGGGAAACAGGUUAAUAUUCCUGUACUUGGUGUUACUGCGAAGGGGGACGGAGAAGGCUAUGUUGGCCGGGCGACGGUUGUCCCGGUUUAAGCGUGUAGGCUGGUUUUCCAGGCAAAUCCGGAAAAUCAAGGCUGAGGCGUGAUGACGAGGCACUACGGUGCUGAAGCGACAAAUGCCCUGCUUCCAGGAAAAGCCUCUAAGCAUCAGGUAACAUCAAAUCGUACCCCAAACCGACACAGGUGGUCAGGUAGAGAAUACCAAGGCGCUUGAGAGAACUCGGGUGAAGGAACUAGGCAAAAUGGUGCCGUAACUUCGGGAGAAGGCACGCUGAUAUGUAGGUGAAGCGACUUGCUCGUGGAGCUGAAAUCAGUCGAAGAUACCAGCUGGCUGCAACUGUUUAUUAAAAACACAGCACUGUGCAAACACGAAAGUGGACGUAUACGGUGUGACGCCUGCCCGGUGCCGGAAGGUUAAUUGAUGGGGUUAGCGGUAACGCGAAGCUCUUGAUCGAAGCCCCGGUAAACGGCGGCCGUAACUAUAACGGUCCUAAGGUAGCGAAAUUCCUUGUCGGGUAAGUUCCGACCUGCACGAAUGGCGUAAUGAUGGCCAGGCUGUCUCCACCCGAGACUCAGUGAAAUUGAACUCGCUGUGAAGAUGCAGUGUACCCGCGGCAAGACGGAAAGACCCCGUGAACCUUUACUAUAGCUUGACACUGAACAUUGAGCCUUGAUGUGUAGGAUAGGUGGGAGGCUUUGAAGUGUGGACGCCAGUCUGCAUGGAGCCGACCUUGAAAUACCACCCUUUAAUGUUUGAUGUUCUAACGUGGGCCCCUUACCGGGGUUGCGGACAGUGUCUGGUGGGUAGUUUGACUGGGGCGGUCUCCUCCUAAAGAGUAACGGAGGAGCACGAAGGUUGGCUAAUCCUGGUCGGACAUCAGGAGGUUAGUGCAAUGGCAUAAGCCAGCUUGACUGCGAGCGUGACGGCGCGAGCAGGUGCGAAAGCAGGUCAUAGUGAUCCGGUGGUUCUGAAUGGAAGGGCCAUCGCUCAACGGAUAAAAGGUACUCCGGGGAUAACAGGCUGAUACCGCCCAAGAGUUCAUAUCGACGGCGGUGUUUGGCACCUCGAUGUCGGCUCAUCACAUCCUGGGGCUGAAGUAGGUCCCAAGGGUAUGGCUGUUCGCCAUUUAAAGUGGUACGCGAGCUGGGUUUAGAACGUCGUGAGACAGUUCGGUCCCUAUCUGCCGUGGGCGCUGGAGAACUGAGGGGGGCUGCUCCUAGUACGAGAGGACCGGAGUGGACGCAUCACUGGUGUUCGGGUUGUCAUGCCAAUGGCACUGCCCGGUAGCUAAAUGCGGAAGAGAUAAGUGCUGAAAGCAUCUAAGCACGAAACUUGCCCCGAGAUGAGUUCUCCCUGACUCCUUGAGAGUCCUGAAGGAACGUUGAAGACGACGACGUUGAUAGGCCGGGUGUGUAAGCGCAGCGAUGCGUUGAGCUAACCGGUACUAAUGAACCGUGAGGCUUAACCUU
rnacentral:rRNA from 1 species